GGGGGACCUUCGGGCCUCUUGCCAUCGGAUGUGCCCAGAUGGGAUUAGCUAGUAGGUGGGGUAACGGCUCACCUAGGCGACGAUCCCUAGCUGGUCUGAGAGGAUGACCAGCCACACUGGAACUGAGACACGGUCCAGACUCCUACGGGAGGCAGCAGUGGGGAAUAUUGCACAAUGGGCGCAAGCCUGAUGCAGCCCUGCCGCGUGUAUGAAGAAGGCCUUCGGGUUGUAAAGUACUUUCAGCGGGGAGGAAGGGAGUAAAGUUAAUACCUUUGCUCAUUGACGUUACCCGCAGAAGAAGCACCGGCUAACUCCGUGCCAGCAGCCGCGGUAAUACGGAGGGUGCAAGCGUUAAUCGGAAUUACUGGGCGUAAAGCGCACGCAGGCGGUUUGUUAAGUCAGAUGUGAAAUCCCCGGGCUA
rnacentral:rRNA from 1 species